rnacentral:rRNA from 1 species
UACAGAGGGUGCGAGCGUUAAUCGGAAUUACUGGGCGUAAAGCGCGCGUAGGCGGCUUUGCAAGUCGGGUGUGAAAUCCCCAGGCUUAACCUGGGAACUGCAUUCGAGACUGCAUUGCUUGAGUCCGGGAGAGGGGGGUGGAAUUCCCAGUGUAGCGGUGAAAUGCGCAGAUAUCAGGAAGAACACCCGUGGCUAAGGCGGCUCUCUAGUACGGUACUGACGCUGAGACGCGAAAGCGUGGGGAGCGAACAGG